UACGUAGGGGGCAAGCGUUGUCCGGAUUUAUUGGGCGUAAAGAGCGUGUAGGCGGCCAAAUAGGUCGGUUGUGAAAACUGGAGGCUUAACCUCCAGACGUCGACCGAAACCAUCUGGCUAGAGUCCGGAAGAGGAGAGUGGAAUUCCUGGUGUAGCGGUGAAAUGCGCAGAUAUCAGGAAGAACACCGGUGGCGAAGGCGGGUCUCUGGGCCGAAACUGACGCUGAGGAGCGAAAGCGUGGGGAGCGAACAGG
rnacentral:rRNA from 1 species